GGAGAAAAUACGAUUUUUUUUAUUUUUUUAGUUCUACAUGACAUUUUAACGGUCAGUGUCAUAAUACUGUUUGCUUUUACUGCAAUAAAAUACACAUAUUUGUAUUCAGCAAAGUCUCACGUGUAAAACAGUACCCCCUAUGUACAGGUUCUAUGGCGUUUUGGGAAGUUACAGGGUCAAAUAUAGCACGUUACAUUUGAAAUUGAAAUUCGCCAGAUUGGUUACGUUGCCUUUGAGACUGUAUA